CUAGAUGGUUCGAUUAGUCUUUCGCCCCCAUGCCCAUAUUUGACGAUCGAUUUGCACGUCAGAAUUGCUGCGAGCCUCCACCAGAGUUUCCUCUGGCUUCACCCUAUACAGGCAUAGUUCACCAUCUUUCGGGUCCAAGCGGUAAGNCUCUUACUCAAAUCCAUCCGAAGACAUCAGGAUCGGUCGGUGAUGCGCCGAAGCUCUCACCUGCGUUUACUUUCAUUUCGCGUGCGGGUUUGGCACCCAGACACUCGCCCCAAUGCUUGACUCCUUGGUCCGUGUUUCAAGACGGGUCGCCGGUGACCAUUACGCCAGCAUCCUUGCCGAAGCGCGGUCCUCGGCCCCCCCGGAGGCAUGACGAAGCGGGCUAUAACACUCCCUAAGGAGCCACGUUCCCGCGACCUUUGUCCCCCCGGGAGAGCCGAUGCUGGCCUNNNNNCCGCNGAGCACCGGUGAGGAACACCGGAUGAUCCUNNNNNNGCAAGUCUGGUCACAGGCGCUUCCCUUUCAACAAUUUCACGUACUUUUUAACCCUCUUUUCAAAGUGCUUUUCAUCUUUCGAUCACUCUACUUGUGCGCUAUCGGUCUCUGGCCGGUAUUUAGCUUUAGAAGAAAUUUACCUCCCAUUUUGAGCAGCAUUCCCAAACUACUCGACUCGUCGAAGGANCUUCGCAAAGGCUAGGCGGGCGGCCGUACGGGGCUCUCACCCUCUAUGGCGUCCUGUUCCAAGGAACUCGGACNGCGCCGCGCCAGAGGCAUCCUCUCCAAAUUACAACUCGGCCCGAGGCCAGAUNNCAAAUUUGAGCUGUUGCGCUUCACUCGCCGUUACUGGGGCAAUCCCUGUUGGUUUCUUUUCCUCCGCUUAUUGAU
rnacentral:rRNA from 1 species